rnacentral:tRNA from 1 species
UGCGGGGUAGUUUCUGUCGGUAGAAAUACGUGGCUUUGAACCACGGGUCCGCAGGUUCGACUCCUGCCCCCGCAG